rnacentral:sRNA from 1 species
GCCUCACUAGGUCGCGGAUCGACCUCCCCAGGUCGGGGCGAACCUUACAUCUCUUGGAGGCUGCAGCGUGCAGGGCUGUCCGGGUUGGUCAAGGACCGGCCUCCGGCCGGCCGCCGCGCGGCGGCGCUGCGCGCCGUCCUUGAGCAACCCGGACAGCCCUGCGAUCG